ensembl:snRNA U6 U6 spliceosomal RNA
UUGCUUCAGCAGUACAUAAACUAAAAUUGGAACAAUAGAGAAGAUAAGCAUGGCCCCAUGUAAGGAUGACACACAAAUUCAUAAAAUAUUUUGAUGCAAAUUCCU